rnacentral:tRNA from 1 species
AGGGUAAUAGCUCAGUGGUAGAGCACAUGCUUAGCAUGCACAAGGUUCUGGGUUCAAUCCCCAGUACCUCCA